UGUAGCUCAGUGGUGCAGCACCUGCCUGGCAAGCACGAGGCCCUGAGUUCAAUUCCCAGUA
rnacentral:tRNA from 1 species